rnacentral:rRNA from 1 species
CAGCAGCCACGGUAAUACGAAGGGUGCAAGCGUUAAUCGGAAUUACUGGGCGUAAAGCGUGCGUAGGCGGUUUGUUAAGUCUGUUGUGAAAUCCCCGGGCUCAACCUGGGAAUGGCAAUGGAUACUGGCAAGCUAGAGUGUGUCAGAGGAUGGUGGAAUUCCCGGUGUAGCGGUGAAAUGCGUAGAGAUCGGGAGGAACAUCAGUGGCGAAGGCGGCCAUCUGGGACAACACUGACGCUGAGGCACGAAAGCGUGGGGAGCAAACAGGAUUAGAGACCCGCGUAGUCCCUGUCUCUUAUAC